GAGUUUGAUCGUGGCUCAGGAUGAACGCUGGCGGCGUGCCUAAUACAUGCAAGUCGAGCGAACGGACGAGAAGCUUGCUUCUCUGAUGUUAGCGGCGGACGGGUGAGUAACACGUGGAUAACCUACCUAUAAGACUGGGAUAACUUCGGGAAACCGGAGCUAAUACCGGAUGAUAUUUUGAACCGCAUGGUUCAAAAGUGAAAGACGGUCUUGCUGUCACUUAUAGAUGGAUCCGCGCUGCAUUAGCUAGUUGGUAAGGUAACGGCUUACCAAGGCAACGAUGCAUAGCCGACCUGAGAGGGUGAUCGGCCACACUGGAACUGAGACACGGUCCAGACUCCUACGGGAGGCAGCAGUAGGGAAUCUUCCGCAAUGGGCGAAAGCCUGACGGAGCAACGCCGCGUGAGUGAUGAAGGUCUUCGGAUCGUAAAACUCUGUUAUUAGGGAAGAACAUAUGUGUAAGUAACUGUGCACAUCUUGACGGUACCUAAUACAGAAAG
rnacentral:rRNA from 1 species